ensembl:lncRNA
UGUAUGGGCUGGGGAAAGCUUGCUGAUGAAGGAUCUGUGAGCAUUCUUAAUGUGGCACAAGAUUUAUCAGAGAUCUUUCUGUUGAAUUAAUGAUCACUGUUGUCCUAUUUUUUAUGCUAUGAAGUCUACCAUAAGGAGAAAAGAUUUCAUGAUACUUACGUGCAUUGGAGUUUGAAUUUAUCAUUUAAGCAUUACUGUUGAAUAUAAAGUAAUGGCCAGCGUAAUCUACUUUGAAGGAAUAAAAUGUGAAAAAGUAUACUGUUAAGAUGAGAUAUCUUACCGAAAUCGAUUCUCCAAACGUGCCUGUGCUGGACUUGCAGGCUUCAGUGUGUGCGCACACACAAUACACGUAUUCGGCUGCAAAUGGGUUUCCGAUUCUAUUUUCAGUCACUGUCCAACAGUGGUUUUCUACCUCACUUGGGGACAGAAUCACAUGUGGAGCUUUUCCAAAAUGUAUUUGCCUAGGUCUUACUCUGUGGACAUUAUAAUUGAGUAGAUUUGGGGUGGGAACUGGGUGUUAAAAAAUUCAAAAGAUGAUUCGAAUGUGCCACUGGGGAUUUUUUUUUUGCAGUUCAUUUUAGGGUAAGGGGAGAUCUGAGACUCUGAGUUUUGUGUCCUACCAUUAGGUAGUAACAUUCUUGCUUGAGUUUAGUUUUUUCAGUCACACUGCCAAAAAUUCCAGUGACUGAAUUUGUAGUGAAAAGUUCAGAGACUACAAAUAUUAACACCAAAUAGUUAAUAGUUGAGAGAGACUGGAAUUCCACUUAGGAUUUUAUACACGCACGCGUAAAAUAGAUUUGUUCAUUCUCCCUUACCGAGCACCGUCUUAAGAGUUGUGGUUCCAGCUUUAAUACUAACAUUAAUAUCUGUUAAGGCAUUAGUUUCCUUUUUAUCCACUCAGCAAAUAUUUAUUGGGCACCUACCAUGUGCCAGACACUGUUGUAGAGAUUACCAUUAUCCAGAAACUGACGUUGUACGAAAUGAGGGGCAUCGGACUGGCUGAUCUCUAAAGUCCUUCCUAGCUCUAAUUUUGUCAUUCUUGUGUCUCAUAGAAGGAGACUGAAUUAAGUUGUUGUAAGAAAUAUACCUAGUUAUGGUAUAAGCCAAUGGGAUUUUCCUUUUACCUUUCAGUGUCUUUAAAUAAGUUAAAUAGAAUUUUGUUCUGAGUGUCAGUCUUCUCCAGUGGACCCAGAUGUCAAGUACAGUAGUAAUUAAUUCUUUCAGAAUUCUUGCCUGUUGUCUUUAGGAAUAGCUAUACUUGAUGUUUUUAAUUUUGGGCCAGGAAUUACAUACUCUGGUGUCAUCCCUUCCCCCUGCCAUUCCUUUUCUGUAUCGAUGCUCUUUCAGUUCUCUCUACACUGUUUGUGUGGUUUUCUGUCUUUUUGUUUGUUUUGUGGUGUUCAGAUGCUUUGAUUAAUUUUGUCCUCCGAAUUCUUUCAGGUUGGUGGCGUCCCUCUGAUGAGACUCAAGAUCCUAAGUCGCUGAUGUAUCCCUAGCCCCUAGAAAGUGCUUGGCACACAGACAUUCAGAGUUAGUAAAUUUCAUCUUUUAUCCCUAGAGAUGUGGAGAAAACUGGAGUCUGAAGAAGAGAAAUUUUCAAGUAAAGGAAAAUAGGAAAGGUAAAAUGGGUUAGUAGGUUUAGGAGUUGUUGGAUUGACAAGUAGAGGGAGGGAUAAUAUUAUAAUUGGAAUGUUUCCUCUCCCUUGUUUUUCUUUUGUGUCUGUCUGUCUGGAGGGCUUUAUUUUAUUGAGAGUCCUGUGGGUUAAUUGUGCUUGUAGUGUGAAUUUAGAGACCACAGACUUUCUCUGCUGACAGAGCAGCUUAAAGUUUGGUUAAGUGUUCAUCUGAGGUCUAGUUUAAGCUUUAAUAACUUACUGCUGUUAAAAAGUGAUGUAGCUUGCUAGGGAAAAUAAUAUUCAGGGGAAGUUGUUUUUUCUGAAUUGAGGAUGAAAGUAUGCAGAUAAAUAUAGUAGCAGUGAUUUCGUCUGGCACAGAUGGUUUCAGAGAAAAUGUUGAUACCUACUUUUUCAUCACUGUAAGACAAGUAGCAAAAGAAGCUUACUGCUUUUAUCGUCUGUCAUUAGGCCAGCCUUUCUCAAACUUACUGGUCUGAGGACCCCUUUAUAAUUAUUGAGAACCCCAAAGAGCUUUUGUUUAUGUGGGGUUAUAUUCGUUGAUAUUUACUAUAUUAAAAAUUAAAGUGGAAGCAUUUUAGAAAUUUGUGUCUGCAUUUAAAAAUAACAAAACUAACUGCAUGUUAAUGUAAAUAAUACUUUUACAGAAAAUAACUUUUCCAAAGCAAAAAUUAGAAGAGUGGCAUUAUUUUUGCAAAUAUCUAUAUCUGGCUUAAUCGAAGACAGCUGGAUUCUGUAUAUGCUUCUGCCUUCAAUCUGUUGUGAUAUAAUACAUCAUGUAGCCUCUGGAAGAACUCUACAGUAUGCCUGAGAGAGAAUGACAGCAACAAUGGCAAAUAACAUCUUAUUAUGAAAAUAAUUUUGAUCUCUUGAAUCUCCUGAAAGGUCUCAGUGGACCACACUUUAAGAACCAGUGCCUUAGGCUCCCAGGGGAAGUUUGACAUUAUCUUUUGACUGGCUUACCUCCUAUAAUAUAUAACUUGCAUACUGUCAAGUCCACAGAUCUUAAGUGUGUAGCUUGAUGAAUUUUUACAAAUGUGCACAUCUGUAUAACUACUGUUGAGAUCAACAUACAGAACGUUCCCAGUGUCUCAGAAGGCUGCCUCGUCGCUCUACCGCCACCCCCCAAAACGAUAUUCUGACUUCUGUCUUUCAAUGAAUUAGUUAUGCCUGUUACUGAACUUCAUAUAAAUGGGAUGAUACAGUAUGCACUCUUGUGUCUCGUUUCUUUUGCCAAACACAUAAUUGAUUAGUUUCUUCUUUUUCAUUGCUAUGUAGUCAUUGUAUGAAAUAUACCAUGAUUUAUUUAGCCAUUCUGCUGUGGGUGGACAUUCAGAUUGUUUACA